UUUAUUAAUAUAUUUAUCACUUUAUUCUACAAAUAACUUUACUUUUUUUUUUUUAUAGAGAACUCAAUGCAUUACAUUUAUUUUUUAUCGUAAAUCA